rnacentral:tRNA from 2 species
GGGGCGUUAGCUCAGCUGGGAGAGCACUGCCUUUGCAAGGCAGGGGUCGCGGGUUCGAAUCCCGCACGCUCCA